ensembl:lncRNA
GUCGUGCAGCCAGGUGCUUGUUUAUCGUGGGCUGAUACAGUAUAUAACAUGGCGCACAAAACCACUCUCAUGCCACUUAAUGAUAACUGUGAAAAUCGUGCUUGUCCCCGCCGUAUUCAGCCGACGCUUGGCGGACUCGCGGAGCUAUUUCUUAGCCAGUGCCGCGGUCUUUCAAAGGGAGCCAAAAGGGAGUGGAGCCUUAUUAUCCCAGAAACAAUGCUCCUUAGUCAGCAGACGCAGAAACUUGCUUUUCACAGACACGUUAUACAGCUCAGAGCUGGAAUAGAGAUAACAUAUCCCCUUUAGCACCGGCAUAAAAGCUCAGGGUCUCUGCUCCUGCCUUGGAGUAAUGCCCUCAGCAGCCUCAUCUGAGGCCUUUAUAAGCGUUUACCUCGUUUCCUUUAAUCGCUUUGCCUUAAAGAGAGGGUGCCUUCGUUGAAGCGAGGCCCAGGCACCCACCAAGCCGGGGGGUUGCGUUGGCAAGGCGGCGAAAGGCGGCAGCUCUCCGCCUCUCCGCCCAAACGACGCACGGCAAACCACCCACUCGCACGACCACGUCCGCCGACGCUCCCUCUCCGAAACAAGAUACCUGCAGGACGGAGGAGAGGGGGGCGAGGAGCGCCUGGCGGGAAUUCAGAGAGCCAGCGAGCCAACCCGUGUUGCAGAAGGCGCACCGGGAAACCCUUUUUAAGACUAUAUGGUGCAGCAAGCGCACGCUGGGCGCUCAGGCUGAGAGCAAGCUCUACAGAUGAGACAUCACAGGAGAACCAGCUCCGUCAAAGCGCUGGAGCCCACACGCACGCGGUGCACCUUCGCCCCGAGAUGGUGGCGGCUGCAGGAAGGAGGUCUCUCUCAUUCGAAUACUGCCUCGGCCUGACUCGGCUCAGCUUGGGAGAUCUGCGGCGCAUACAGACUGCAGCGGGAUGGCUCCGGGCCAUACAGCACGCACUAAGCACUACCAUAUGUCACCGAGGCAGCUAGACAAAACCUUCCCUGAAACGUGGAGAGGAGCGCUGGAUAUAUGUGAAACUUCACUAGUUUAAAACCAAACAGCAAAGGUUUUGUAAAACAAAACCAGUUUACUGCUGAGCAUCAGCAGCUGCUCUCAAAUUUACAAACACGUUUGCGUUUUACAGAACAUAAGUGAAAAAGCAAUCGCUUUUCCAGCCGGCUGCCAAGACCUGAGUUCGGGAUGUGCUUUUUCCCGGCUGUUGCUGCAAGGGUUUCAGACGUCGCUACCUGCAGCCGGCCCGAUCGAGGGAGCACGCCGGGCUGCUCCUCCCACCACACGGCAGGAGCAGAGCGGAUUUUCCAUGCUUUAUUUCUGCCAUUAAUUGACCUGGACUCUGCUAUCUGGGCCAAGCAGCUCCUACAUUUUGGUCCAGGAAGGAAGCAGUACAGAGUGCUGCAGUAUGUCUUUAUUCCACCUAGGCUUUCCCAACGCGGAUGAGCUCCAAGAUUAAAUAUUUGGCUUUAUGGCCCUUUUGUUCCAGCGGACUGGCACGAAGGAGGAUGCGCUGGGGCUGGAUGCACAAGAUGUGAUGGGCCUAUGCAAGCGUUGCUGUCUUAAUUUGAAACCUUACGUAGUAUAUUUACUCCUCCAAUGUGCAACUCUAUCUGCUGAAUUUCUGGAUUUCUGCACUUACUGUUUAUAUCUAAACCGCAGCUCAUUCUUGAGCUUUCUUUGCUCACAGAAAGGCGGCACAGGUAUAGUGCCGGACUCAUGAGUCUUGCUAGAAAGGCUACAUUGCAUAUUCUUCCAACUGUAUAAUCUCACCAACACAAAUAUUUAACGUCCAUCCCAGCCCCAGAUUUAUAAAAGGCCAUCUGUAAACUGCUUUCACUGGUUUCCAAUUAAGCUAUCUCCACUGUGGGAUUGAUGCCACUCACAACUGACAUGAUACCUUCAAUUUGAGGAUAAGAUAGUUAUUUGGACUAAUUUCCUUGUGGAAAGGCCCUGUGUAAUUGAACAGCGAUGAAAACCAGUGGGGCUGGGCAGAAUUACAAAUUGGUUCUGCGUUGCUGACUACCCAUCUCACUAGUGACGUUGCGAUAUACAUUUAAAGCACAAGCUCCUGGAAUCAUACGAUGCUCAAAAGCACUGACUUCCACUUUUAAAAGCUAUCUUCCUGUCCUUAUUACUGAGGAGUUUAAAAUGUAAGGUUUAAGGCUGAAAAAUAAAAGGACAAAGAACAAUUCCA